rnacentral:tRNA from 2 species
GGGGCGUUGGUGUAAUGGUAGCAUCCGUGGUAUGGCAGCCAUGAGGUCUGGGUUCGAUUCCCGGGCGCCCCA